rnacentral:pre_miRNA from 1 species
GGUGUCUGGAAUGGAGGCUGAUCCAAGAUCCUUUGGUGCAAAAUACUAGGGCAUUGUAGUAAGUGCCGUUGGUUUUUUGUUUCGGAGUUUGUUAUCGAGGAUCUCGGACCAGGCUUCAUUCCUCACACC